GCGGGUGUAGUUCAGUGGUAGAACGCCUCGUUGCCAACGAGAAGGUCGUGGGUUCAAGUCCCAUCGCCCGCU
rnacentral:tRNA from 2 species